AUCUAUUUGCUGGAUACAGGUCUCUUAUAGGAACUUCCACACACCACGGUCUUGCGCCGCCAGUAUCCAGCGGCUCUCUUCCACUCCUUUGACGUCGU